GACGAACGCUGGCGGCGUGCCUAAUACAUGCAAGUUGAGCGCUGAAGGUUGGUACUUGUACCAACUGGAUGAGCAGCGAACGGGUGAGUAACGCGUGGGGAAUCUGCCUUUGAGCGGGGGACAGCAUUUGGAAACGAAUGCUAAUACCGCAUAAAAACUUUAAACACAAGUUUUAAGUUUGAAAGAUGCAAUUGCAUCACUCAAAGAUGAUCCCGCGUUGUAUUAGCUAGUUGGUGAGGUAAAGGCUCACCAAGGCGAUGAUACAUAGCCGACCUGAGAGGGUGAUCGGCCACAUUGGGACUGAGACACGGCCCAAACUCCUACGGGAGGCAGCGGUAGGGAAUCUUCGGCAAUGGACGAAAGUCUGACCGAGCAACGCCGCGUGAGUGAAGAAGGUUUUCGGAUCGUAAAACUCUGUUGGUAGAGAAGAACGUUGGUGAGAGUGGAAAGCUCAUCAAGUGACGGUAACUACCCAGAAAGGGACGGCUAACUACGUG
rnacentral:rRNA from 1 species